UUCCCUUCUGGGCCUGGCGCGGCGGCGGCGGCCUCACGUGCUGCACUCUCGAGCCUGGGGCCGAGGCCGCCUCGGCCCACGCUCUCUGCACAGCCGUCCUCGGCCCGGGGCCUACGGUGGGCCCCGCAGCCCGCGGGAGAUAAGGGGCCAGAGCUCCGACCCCAGGACUCUGGCCCCCUGGUGCACCUGCACAGCCCUUCGGACGCCGCGUGGGCAGUACCACUAAAAAUAAGGAAGAGGAACCCAAGAGAACUAACUCAACCUUUUGAAUAGAGAGAAAGCACCGUCUAUGAACCAGAAAGCAGGCCCCGAGCAGAUACUGCAUCUGCUAAGGGUUUGAUUUUGGACUCUGCAGCCUCCAGAACUGUCUUCCCAUAAACAUCUGGUGAUCCCUGGCUGCCUUAAGAUUUCUUCCAAGAUUCCCCAAGAGCUGGUGGGCAGACUCUAUGUGCACACAUGCGGCUGCUCCCCCAGGGUUCUCAAAGCUGAGCUCAGUGCCAAGCAGCAGGAGCUGCCCCAUAUUCUCCCUUCUACCCUGCAGAGAACCUGCUCAGAAGAUCCAGAGCUCAGCUACAGUGGGGCUAAACAGCACUGCACCAAUGAACUCGAGCACCCAGCCACCCUGAGAAAGAUGGUUUUGAGAGGAAAACACAUUAUUUUUUCUAAACAGCAACUUAGAAAUAAAAUUUUGGACCAUGUCCUGCUUGCAAACUGAGGUUCAAUUCUCCUAUAAUGGGCCAGCUCUGGUCGUGCUGAGAGAGAAGGGCCAUUAGCAGAAAUGAAAAACAAGAAAAAUCUUUCAGUCCAUUAGGUUAAAAGAGGAUUUUUCUGUCCUUUAUUAUUUAUUAUUUGUGACUUCAGUUACUGUUUCCUGGAACAAAUGUUAUGGUUCUACUUCAGUGUCUAUUUACUGAAGCAAAUAGAUGCUUAUCAGCCGUCAGGCUACAAAUUGCUAAGCAGUCUGUAAGGGCUUUGCUGCUGUGGCCUCUUGCAGUUCUUUGAUGUCUUGUAAGGCAACUUAUUUUCUGUGCCUCAGACAGUUUCCAAAAUGACUGCAAUCAUGCAUGUGUGUGUAUGUGUUGAAUGUUUAAAUAAAAAAUUAUUACCAUAAAAGACACAUUGCCAUUUGUCCCCCUUAAAAUACUCCCUUUUGCUUUGAACACACUUAUCCCAUCAUUCUUGCCACUUUCCGAAGCAGUUCUAGAAGUCCUCCUUGUGUGUCUUUACUAGGUGUGAUCAGAAAUAAAGUGAAUGCUGCUGCCAAGUGCCAUCCAAGGAAAAAGCAGGUUCAUAAAACAUUUGGGUGUGUCCUCAUCUACCCUAUUCACUGGAUCCGGCACUGUGCCACCUCUGGCUCUUUUUAAAAAUAUUUAUUUAUGUAUUUAAAAAAAUUUUUUUUAAUUUUUUGGUACUGGGGAUCGAACUUGGGUCCUUGCACUUUCGAGGCAGGCAGCAGAACCACUGAGCUAAAUCCCUGGCCCCAAAAAUAUUUAUUUUUAAAGUACUGGGGAUUAAACUCAGGACCUUUGCACUGAGCUACAUCCCCACACCUCUUAUUCCUAGAGUGCUGGGAUUACAGAUGUGUACCACUACACCCAACUGACUUUUGGCUCUUCCCCAAAGUCAAAAUGACCAUGAAAGGUAAAGGCUUCAAAUUGAUUCAGGAUAUAGAGACAACCACAAUAGCACAACUAAAGACACUCACAAAAGAGGACUUGUAGAACUGCUUCAGAAAGUGCCAAGAACAACGGAAUACAUGUGUGUGAAAUGAAGGAGAAUAUUUUUUCUUUUUGAGACAGGGUCUCACUAUGCAGUCAGGCUGACCUUGAACUCAUUAUAUAGUUCAGGAUAAUCAUUCAGCCUCAGCCUCCUGAGUGCUGGGAUUACAGGUGUCCACUACCACAGCAAGCGGCUAUGUGUCUUUUACUGUAAUUUCAAAAACCAUUCACUAUAUUUUAGAUCACACCUCACACACAUACAUAGGAAUCUAUACCUAUACCUGUAAUAUGUCUAUAUAUUAUAUAUGUUGCAUUUGAAUGCAUUUAACUGCAAGAACUGAGCAAAGGCAGACUUAGUUUUUACUUUAAAAAUGUCACAGGAGUUAGCAGUCCCCAGAGUCCCCAGUAUAUAGGAGGACGUGGGCAGAAGCUAAGCAAGCACUCUGGGAGGAAGAAAGCCCGUCAGGGGCUGUGUGGCCACGGGAGGAUGUCGUGAUUCCCCCAUGCGAAUUCCCCAGCCGCUGUUUCAGGACCACACCGCG
rnacentral:lncRNA from 1 species